rnacentral:rRNA from 1 species
CGUAGGAGGCAAGCGUUAUCCGGAUUCACUGGGCGUAAAGCGCGUGCAGGCGGUGCGGUAAGUUGGGCGUGAAAUCUCCCGGCUCAACUGGGAGAGGUCGUUCAAUACUACCGUACUUGAGAGCAGAAGAGGAAAAUGGAAUUCCCGGUGUAGUGGUGAAAUGCGUAGAUAUCGGGAGGAACACCAGUGGCGAAGGCGAUUUUCUGGUCUGCUUCUGACGCUCAGACGCGACAGCUAGGGUAGUAAACGGGAUUAGAGACCCCGGUAAUCCUAGCCGUAAACGAUGUGAACUUGGCGUUGGUGGGUUAAACUCCAUCAGUGCCGCAGCAAACGCGAUAAGUUCACCGCCUGGGGACUACGGCCGCAAGGUUA